rnacentral:tRNA from 1 species
GGAGGGGUGGCAGAGUGGUCGAUCGCGCCCGCUUGGAAAGCGUGUAUACCUCACGGUAUCGAGGGUUCGAAUCCCUCUCCCUCCACCA